GGAGCCCGGGCGCACGGGCCAGGCCGCGGGCUGUCCCAGGGAGCCCCGAGGGCGCGGUGCGCGGGCGCAGGUCGGGCGCAGGCGGGGUGACCCGGGGAAGGGGCGCGCACAGAGACAGAGGGAGCCAGCCGGGCCCCACGGUGUCCUCGGACGCCUCCGAAAUCUCCCUGCGUGUUUGUUUCUUCGGAGCUUCACCGGAGCCUGACUCUGGAACCGGCCUGUCUGCCUGCUGCAGUCUGUCAUUCAACAUUUAUUCAACCAAAAAUACUAAGUCAGCUCUAUACAAACUAAUGGAAGGAUACAGCUAUGCAAAUAUAGAACACUAAAGUGUUACAUGACAGAUGUAUGAGAAGUACCUUUUGCCUCCCACUGUGAUUCUGAGGCCUCCCCAGCCAUGUGCAACUGUAAGUCCAAUGAAACCUCUUUUUCUCCUCAGUUUUGGGUAUGUCUUUAUCAGCAGCGUGAAAAUGGACUAAUACGAUCACCCUCUUCUUUGUUCUCCUUUCUAUUUCAUCGCUAAUUUUUUUUGGCAUUUGGAGGGUGCUAUACAUUGCAAAAGUUGGGGACUCACUAAUUCCACUGCUCACUGUAUAUCAAGGUAAUCUGUCAGGGGUUUGGUUUUAUAUAAGAAACAAAUGAGUCCCCAGAACAUACAAGUUAAGAUUAUUCAAUCAAGGGAGGC
rnacentral:lncRNA from 1 species